UACGUAGGGUGCAAGCGUUAAUCGGAAUUACUGGGCGUAAAGCGUGCGCAGGCGGUUGUGCAAGACAGAUGUGAAAUCCCCGGGCUCAACCUGGGAAUUGCAUUUGUGACUGCACGGCUAGAGUGUGUCAGAGGGGGGUAGAAUUCCACGUGUAGCAGUGAAAUGCGUAGAGAUGUGGAGGAAUACCGAUGGCGAAGGCAGCCCCCUGGGAGUAACACUGACGCUCAUGCACGAAAGCGUGGGGAGCAAACAGG
rnacentral:rRNA from 1 species